rnacentral:rRNA from 1 species
CACCAGCGCCACAAGUCGUGAUCACUUUUAUUGGGCCUAAAGCGUCCGUAGCAGGUCUGUUAAAUCUUUUGUGAAAUCGUUGCGCUUAACGUAACGGCGUGCAAGAGACACUGACAGACUAGGGACCGGGAGGAGUCAGAGGUAUUCUUGGGGGAGCGGUAAAAUGUUAUAAUCCCAAGAGGACCACCUGUGGCGAAGGCGUCUGACUAGUACGGAUCCGACUGUGAGGGACGAAAGCCAGGGGAUCAAUCCGG